UGGGACUGCUGACUUUGCCAGGGGCUUCC
rnacentral:piRNA from 1 species